rnacentral:rRNA from 1 species
UACGGGGGGGGCAAGCGUUGUUCGGAAUCAUUGGGCGUAAAGCGCGUGUAGGCGGCUCGGUAAGUCUGCUGUGAAAGUCCAGGGCUCAACCCUGGGAUGCCGGUGGAUACUGUCGAGCUCGAGUCCGGAAGAGGCGAGUGGAAUUCCUGGUGUAGCGGUGAAAUGCGCAGAUAUCAGGAGGAACACCAAUGGCGAAGGCAGCUCGCUGGGACGUGACUGACGCUGAGACGCGAAAGCGUGGGGAGCAAACAGG